CUUAAUUACCCUAUUGGACUGGAGUUCCCGUGCAGGAAUCCGCUCAACUUCUCCAUUCCUAUUUCCUCGCUAUCACUCACUCCUUCUCCAUUCCUAUUUCCUCGCUAACCUCCUCACUUCCCGGCAUCACCGUCACGGAGUUUGCCAGUUCAAUUAGGGUUUCGGAAACACUUCAAUGGACGCAGCUAUUGGAGUUGCGUUUCAAGAACUCUUCACAGCUGUUAUGUAUGUCGGCCGAAGGGCCGCGAAAUUCAAGUCCAUCCUCAAGAAAAUCGAAUCCACCUUGAAUCGGGUAACCCCAAUGAUCGAAGAGAACGAGAACCUGGGCAGAAACCUGGACAUAUCGCAAGGGGAGACGGAAAUGUUCAUCUCUCGGUUCACUGAAGCCCGAAAGGUUGUGCUUAAAUGUCGCAAGGUACAGUGGUGGAACUUUUGCAUGAGGUUUUACUAUGCGCAGAAGCUGAUGGAAUUGCAUGAUUCUCUCUUGGAGUUCGCUCAGAUCUAUGCUCCAGUCGAUACGUGGAGAAACAGCAGGAGGAGUUUGGCGAUGUUGAACGAGAUAAACUCGAGAAUGGGUCGGACAGGGACGAUGGGAGGGAUGGGUGAAGCGAGUGGAUUCCUUCGUAGGUGUGGGGUUCCCAAAGCUCCCGAUUUUGUUGUGGGGUUCAAAGAGCCACUUCAGAUGUUAAAAGCGCGGCUUCUCAAGGAUAAAGAACAGUUGGUGGUGCUUUCUGCCCCUGGAGGGUGGGGGAAGACUACCUUGGCGAAAUUGCUCUGCCACGAUCAUGAAAGUAAAGAAAAAUUUAAGAGCAAUAUCUUCUUCUUCACCUUUUCGAACGAACCAAACCUCGAGGUUAUAGUUGGGAAGCUGUUUCAACGCAGGGGUUAUACAGUUGCUGAGUCCGACUUUCCAACUGAGGAAGAUGCCUUUAACCAAUUGGAACGCAUGCUGAAGGAAACAGGAUCUGAUCCCAUACUAUUGGUCUUGGAUGAUGUGUGGUCAGGGUCCGAAGACCAUAUUAUGAGAUUCAAAUUCCGAAUACCAAAUUCCCAGAUUUUGGUUACUUCAAGAUUGGUAUUUCCAGAAUUUUCUACUUCUACGUAUAGAUUGGAAUCGUUAAAAGAUAAAGAUGCCUGGGAUCUUUUCCAUCAUUGGGCCUUCCCAAAUGGGAACUCCUCCAUACCAGAUUAUGUUGUGAACAAGAUUGUGAGAGGCUGUGGGGGUUUACCUUUGUUCCUUGAAGUGUUUGGCAGAUCGCUCUGUGAACAACCAGUGGUGAUCUGGAACCGUACACUGAAGCAGUGGUCUGAGGAAAAACCAGCCCUCCAUCCUAAUGAAAAACUGCUUAAGCGUCUCAUAACCAGCUUUUGAUGCAUUGGAUAAUGUGUAUAAGAUAAAGGAUCGUUACCAGGACUUGGCUUCCUUUCCUGAGGAUCAGAGAAUCUGUGUUGCAGCUCUUAUAGAUAUGUGGGUGGAACUCUAUAGCCUAAAAGAAGAUGGUGAGGAUGUCAUGGCCAACCUCCAUGAACUGUCAAAUCGGAAUAUGGUGAAUCUUUUAUUUCCAAGAGCCCCAAAGAAUAAAGCAUCCUUGAUCUGGGUCAAAUGGAAGACUCGAAUCCUUCAAAAGAGAGGAACACUGUAGGUUACGAAGUCAGCCAAGAAGUACUGAGUGGAUCGGUUUAGCAAUGAAGUUGCUGGCAAACACAGAUGGAAUUUCUAAGGCAGCGCUAUUCCAGAAGAGCAAUUGGACUAUGAGCCUGCUAUUAUUAUACUGGUCAGAGAUGGACCGGACCAAUAAAGAGCUGUGAGUAUUGGAAGAUGGAAGAUUGCAGGUUUGCCCAUGCACAGGUGCAAGCGCACUGUCAAGCAUCUCUCAAAGGAAGAAAUCCCAUAAAUUAGUCAGUUAGUUAACAUGAGUGGAUAAGAGGUCCCCCUGGUAAUCCUGGGCCAUCCAACCGAGCAAAUUAAGUCCUUCAGCUAGAAGACAUGGUCAAAGUGGCUUCAGCGAGUGCCCAGUUUACCAGUUUGGUUUUUUUAUUUCUGUGCGAAAGCUCACCAAGAAAGUUGGAGACUUGCAGCGUGCAGGCAGAAAACCUGAUCCUAUCAAGUCUAGUAGAAAACCUGACUUCUAAGAGCAAAUAAACCAUUUUUUAUUAUUUAUUUAUUUGCGCUAAGGAGCCUAACUAUGAAAACACGAUCUAAAUAUUAUUUAGCUGAAAAUAA